GCCCGCCUAGCUCAAUCGGAUAGAGCGUCAGACUUUUACAAGUUUCCCGAUCGACGAGGCAUAAUUGGAUCUGAAGGCUGCGAGUUCGACCCUCGCGGUGGGCU
rnacentral:tRNA from 1 species